GGGCGGGUAGCGUAGUGGUCAGCGUGUUCCUAAGCGUUGUCAGCGUUGGUUUAAAGCGUUCAGCGAGAGUCCUGGGUUCGAAUCCCAGCCCGCCCG